rnacentral:rRNA from 1 species
GCAAGAUUAAAACUCAAAGGAAUAGACGGGGACCCGCACAAGUGGUGGAGCAUGUGGUUUAAUUCGAAGAUACGCGAAGAACCUUACCUAGCCUUGACAUUGAUAGAACACAGUAGAGAUACAGUGGUGCCCUUCGGGGAACUUGAAAACAGGUGCUGCACGGCUGUCGUCAGCUCGUGUCGUGAGAUGUUGGGUUGAGUCCCGCAACGAGCGCAACCCUCGUCACUAGUUACUAACGAUUCGGUCGAGGACUCUAGUGAGACUGCCUUCGUAAGGAGGAGGAAGGUGAGGACGACGUCAAGUCAUCAUGGCCCUUACGGCUAGGGCUACACACGUGCUACAAUGGUUAGGACAGUGAGAAGCGAUACCGCGAGGUGGAGCAAAUCUAUAAACCUAAUCUCAGUUCGGAUUGUUCUCUGCAACUCGAGAACAUGAAGCUGGAAUCACUAGUAAUCGUAGAUCAGCAAUGCUACGGUGAAUACGUUCCCGGGUCUUGUACUCACCGCCCGUCACACCAUGGGAGUUGAUUUCACCCGAAGCGGGGAAGCUAAACUGGCUACCCUCCACGGUGGAAUUAGCGACUGGGGUGAAGUCGUAACAAGGUA